rnacentral:rRNA from 1 species
GACGAACGCUGGCGGCGUGCUUAACACAUGCAAGUCGAACGGUGAAGCUCCAGCUUGCUGGAGUGGAUCAGUGGCGAACGGGUGAGUAACACGUGAGCAACCUGCCCCUGACUCUGGAAUAAGCGCUGGAAACGGCGUCUAAUACUGGAUACGAGAAGGGUCCGCAUGGGCACUUUCUGGAAAGUUUUUCGGUUGGGGAUGGGCUCGCGGCCUAUCAGCUUGUUGGUGAGGUAAUGGCUCACCAAGGCGACGACGGGUAGCCGGCCUGAGAGGGCGACCGGCCACACUGGGACUGAGACACGGCCCAGACUCCUACGGGAGGCAGCAGUGGGGAAUAUUGCACAAUGGGCGAAAGCCUGAUGCAGCGACGCCGCGUGGGGGAUGACGGCCUUCGGGUUGUAAACCUCUUUCAGCAGGGAAGAAGCGAAAGUGACGGUACCUGCAGAAGAAGCACCGGCUAACUUCGUG